GGGCCCAUAGCUCAGCUGGGAGAGCGCCUGCAUGGCAUGCAGGAGGUCGUCGGUUCGAUCCCGAUUGGGUCCACCA
rnacentral:tRNA from 2 species